rnacentral:rRNA from 1 species
GACGACGCUGGCGGCGUGCCUAACACAUGCAAGUCGAGCGGGUUGAAGCGAGAGGUAACUCGAACUUCUACCUAGCGGCGGACGGGUGAGUAACGCGUGGGCAACCUGCCUCAAGGUCUGGGAUAACAGCCCGAAAGGGCUGCUAAUACCGGGUAUGCUUGUGGCCUCGCAUGGGGCUACGAGCAAAGGGGAAACCCGCCUUGAGAUGGGCCCGCGUCCCAUCAGCUAGUUGGUGAGGUAACAGCUCACCAAGGCGACGACGGGUAGCCGGCCUGAGAGGGUGACCGGCCACACUGGGACUGAGACACGGCCCAGACUCCUACGGGGGGCAGCAGUGGGGGAUCUUGCACAAUGGGCGAAAGCCUGAUGCAGCGACGCCGCGUGAGCGAAGAAGGCCUUCGGGUUGUAAAGCUCUGUCUGGAGGGACGAAGGAAGUGACGGUACCUCCGGAGGAAGCCACGGCUAACUACGUG